rnacentral:rRNA from 1 species
AAGCUCGUAGUUGAAUUUCGGGACCAUCAUGUCGGUCGUGCCUCGGUACGCACUGGCAUCGUCGGUUUCUCCCUUCUGACGAACCAUGAUGUCAUUUAUUUGGUGUUGUGGGGAAUCAGGACUGUUACUUUGAAAAAAUUAGAGUGUUUAAAGCAGGCUCACGCUUGAAUACAUUAGCAUGGAAUAAUGAAAUAGGACGUUUGAUUCUAUUUUGUUGGUUUCUGAAUCACCGUAAUGAUUAAUAGGGAUAGUUGGG